GAGAUCAAAUGUUGCUGUCCUUGGA
rnacentral:miRNA from 1 species